UACGUAGGUGGCGAGCGUUAUCCGGAAUUAUUGGGCGUAAAGAGCGCGCAGGUGGUUGAUUAAGUCUGAUGUGAAAGCCCACGGCUAAACCGUGGAGGGUCAUUGGAAACUGGUCGACUUGAGUGCAGAAGAGGGAAGUGGAAUUCCAUGUGUAGCGGUGAAAUGCGUAGAGAUAUGGAGGAACACCAGUGGCGAAGGCGGCUUCCUGGUCUGUAACUGACACUGAGGCGCGAAAGCGUGGGGAGCAAACAGG
rnacentral:rRNA from 1 species